UACGUAGGGUGCGAGCGUUAUUCGGAAUUACUGGGCGUAAAGUGCGCGCAGGCGGCGUUGCAAGUCGGGUGUGAAAUCCCCGAGCUUAACUUGGGAAUUGCGCUCGAAACUACGAUGCUCGAGUGUGGCAGAGGAAGGUGGAAUUCCACGUGUAGCGGUGAAAUGCGUAGAGAUGUGGAGGAACACCGAUGGCGAAGGCAGCCUUCUGGGCCAACACUGACGCUCAUGCACGAAAGCGUGGGGAGCAAACAGG
rnacentral:rRNA from 1 species